UUGGGGAUAACAUAUUAAAGUUUAUUGUGUCUUUUUAAGCCCCUAAACUCACCAAGAAAAAAUCCUCAAAUCAAUUGAUAACCUCUCCAUUCUUUUCUCAAAAAACAUCCAUUGAUGAAGCUUUGGAGCUCAAAGGAAGAAGACUGAUUUUUCAAGUUUUUCUCCAUCAAUCAUGUGGGAUUUUCUUCACAAUUAAGGCACAGUUUCAUAGUAGAGCUUACAGGUCGACGCUGAAGCUAUACGGACGUGGAGUAUUUAUCCUGAUUUGGUAGGCCUUCAUUCUUUCGAGGAAGCUUGGCCAUUAUAUUAUAGAUUAGAUAUAGGUGUAAGUUAGUGGAGUAUGUUCCACUAGACUUUAUUUCUCAUCUUAUUUCAGACAUUUUAUUGGUGCCAUUUUUUCAAGUA